GAGAUUGGGCCACUCACUCUCUGUGUCCAAGGACAGCAUCUCCAGGGAAGAGAAGGAGCAUCCGGCAGCACAAAAGGAGAAGAGCAUGGAUCAAGACUUCUGGUGCCCAGAUUCCUAUGACCCUAGCAGAGUGGAGAGGGUGUGAUGAAAUGCCGGUGGAGCUUGCAUUCCGUUGCGAAUUGAGUAUUCUCAAGUAGCUGGUAGAUUUAGUCUAUCAGCCCCACUUCCCCAUGUAGAAGCUGGAAGCUGCUGAGUUUUUAGCAUCCUGAUAACAUUCUUUACCACUGCCACUAGGAAACUUGCCAUCCUCUCAGAAUUGCUUUGUGGCGAUAAAGCAAUCGUCCGUUGAAACCAUCUGUUUUUAUAGCAUGAAGAUUUAAUGCCUAUAAUUAGGAAGGAGUUUUCACAGAAACCCUCCCUCAUGACAGAUUUGACUAAGCUGGUAAAUAGUUUGGUGUUGCUCUCAUUCUGGGUGAAGAUUUCAAUGUGGAAGAUCUAGCAAAUGCUUUGGAAAGGCCUGUGAAUGGUGUGCUCCCCUCUGUGUCUCCAUGGCCUGCAGUCCAUGCUCUUGUGAAGGAGUUUGGGACACUGGCUGUUGCCCGGUGUUUCAGCACUUUCAGUUUAGGGGAAAUGUGAAUCAAUAGGUAUGAUCCAUUUCUAAUCAAUUUGGCCUUCUGCUGCUGGAAGUAACUUUACUUAUAAGUAACUUGCCAUCAGAGAAUAAAAGCAAUAUCUUUUAAGUUCCUG
rnacentral:lncRNA from 1 species